rnacentral:rRNA from 1 species
GAUGAACGCUGGCGGCGUGCCUAAUACAUGCAAGUCGAGCGAACAGAUGAGGAGCUUGCUCCUCUGACGUUAGCGGCGGACGGGUGAGUAACACGUGGAUAACCUACCUAUAAGACUGGGAUAACUUCGGGAAACCGGAGCUAAUACCGGAUAAUAUAUUGAACCGCAUGGUUCAAUAGUGAAAGACGGUUUUGCUGUCACUUAUAGAUGGAUCCGCGCCGCAUUAGCUAGUUGGUAAGGUAACGGCUUACCAAGGCAACGAUGCGUAGCCGACCUGAGAGGGUGAUCGGCCACACUGGAACUGAGACACGGUCCAGACUCCUACGGGAGGCAGCAGUAGGGAAUCUUACGCAAUGGGCGAGAGCCUGACGGAGCAACGUCGCGUGAGGGAUGAAGGUCUUCGGAUCGUAAAGCUCUGUUAGUAGGGAAGAACAAAUGUGUAAGUAACCGUGCACAUCUUGACGGUACCUAAUCAGAAAGCCCCGGCUAACUACGUG